rnacentral:tRNA from 1 species
GACUGGGUGGCUCAGUGGUUUGAGCUGUGGUCCAGUAACCAGUAGGUUGUUGGUUCAAACCCAGUUUAGGUCA